AGAGCGAACGCUGGCGGCAGGCUUAACACAUGCAAGUCGAGCGGGCGUAGCAAUACGUCAGCGGCAGACGGGUGAGUAACGCGUGGGAACAUACCUUUUGGUUCGGAAUAACACAGGGAAACUUGUGCUAAUACCGGAUAAGCCCUUACGGGGAAAGAUUUAUCGCCGAAAGAUUGGCCCGCGUCUGAUUAGCUAGUUGGUGAGGUAACGGCUCACCAAGGCGACGAUCAGUAGCUGGUCUGAGAGGAUGAUCAGCCACAUUGGGACUGAGACACGGCCCAAACUCCUACGGGAGGCAGCAGUGGGGAAUAUUGGACAAUGGGCGCAAGCCUGAUCCAGCCAUGCCGCGUGAGUGAUGAAGGCCCUAGGGUUGUAAAGCUCUUUUGUGCGGGAAGAUAAUGACGGUACCGCAAGAAUAAGCCCCGGCUAACUUCGCGUCAGCAGCCGC
rnacentral:rRNA from 1 species